rnacentral:rRNA from 1 species
CGUGUAGGCGGUUGGUCAAGUCGGGUGUGAAAGCCUGGGCUCAGCCCCAGAAGUGCAUCCGAAACUAGCCAGCUAGAGCGCGAUAGAGGAGGGUGGAAUUCCUGGUGUAGCGGUGAAAUGCGUAGAUAUCAGGAGGAACACCGGCGGCGAAGGCGGCCCUCUGGAUCGUUGCUGACGCUGAGACGCGAAAGCGUGGGGAGCAAACAGGAUUAGAUACCCUGGUAGUCCACGCCUUAAACGAUGGGUACUAGGUGUUCGGGGUGUUGACCCCCUGAGUGCCGCAGUUAACGCAUUAAGUACCCCGCCUGGGGACUACGGCCGCAAGGUUAAA